rnacentral:rRNA from 1 species
UACGUAGGGUGCGAGCGUUAAUCGGAAUUACUGGGCGUAAAGCGUGCGCAGGCGGUUCGUUGUGUCGGUGGUGAAAUCCCCGGGCUUAACCUGGGAAUGGCCAUGGAAACUGGCGAACUGGAGUGUGGCAGAGGGGGGUGGAAUUCCGCGUGUAGCAGUGAAAUGCGUAGAGAUGCGGAGGAACACCGAUGGCGAAGGCAAUCCCCUGGGCCUGCACUGACGCUCAUGCACGAAAGCGUGGGGAGCAAACAGG